rfam:Gossypium raimondii Chr01_contig_15, whole genome shotgun sequence.
UGUUAAAAUUUUAUCAGUUUGUACUGUUAAAAAUCGACGUGGCUAACGGAAUAAUCAAGAAGUGAUACUUAGUGUGCCACGUGUACCUCAUGUUGAUGUACAAAGAUCAGUUAACAGUAGAAUUGGAAGUAAUUUUUAACA